rnacentral:rRNA from 1 species
GUGGGGAAUUUUGGACAAUGGGCGCAAGCCUGAUCCAGCAAUGCCGCGUGCAGGAAGAAGGCCUUCGGGUUGUAAACUGCUUUUGUCAGGGAAGAAAUCCUUUGGGCUAAUACCUCGGAGGGAUGACGGUACCUGAAGAAUAAGCACCGGCUAACUACGUGCCAGCAGCCGCGGUAAUACGUAGGGUGCGAGCGUUAAUCGGAAUUACUGGGCGUAAAGCGUGCGCAGGCGGCUUUGCAAGACAGAGGUGAAAUCCCCGGGCUCAACCUGGGAACUGCCUUUGUGACUGCAAGGCUAGAGUACGGCAGAGGGGGAUGGAAUUCCGCGUGUAGCAGUGAAAUGCGUAGAUAUGCGGAGGAACACCGAUGGCGAAGGCAAUCCCCUGGGCCUGUACUGACGCUCAUGCACGAAAGCGUGGGGAGCAA